AUGCAAUACCAAUGUUUUCAUAUUUUUUUCUCCCAAGGUACUGAGACAGACAUCGACAAACUCCACGAAAUGGAAAAUGAACACAUAGGCCUAUGCCCAAACUUGGAGUCAACCCACCACAACAGGCCUUUCUCCCACAACAGCAAACACAGAGACACAGUAAUAUUGCCAAGACAUCUCCUACAGCUGUUGGAUGUCUUCACUCCCAUCUCUGGACCAUCACCCCCUCCCCCCCUUGGCCCUGACAGCUGCCGUGGCUUGGCUGGAGCCAUGAGAUCCAUCAUCCCGCUCCAUCCCCGCCGCUUCGGCUGUCUGAUCAAUGAUAGCACUAAUAAUAACCGCCACACUGUCACCUCCGUCUUCCCGGCCCGACCGGCACAGCCAGGGGCAGCUAUGUGCAGAUUGCCUCCUCCGAUUAGGACCCCAUUAGAGAGGGUGUUUACCCACACUCUCCCCCAGGGGCUGUCACGCUUUGCUUGCCCAUCAAAAGACUGCAUAGAGACCAAGGUGACCUUUUGGUCAAGUUGAAAGUGAAUGUUAUUUAUGUAUUGGUUAAAUUGUCUGACAAAACUCAAUUUAAGCUUUUUCCUUGGCUGAUGCGAUGCAAUUUUGAAUAGUACCUUAGGUGAUGCUAUAUCGUAAAACAUAUUAACUGUUUUUCUGUGCAGCAAACUUUUGACUAUUUAUGAAUGCUUAAGCAUCAUGCAUGUGUAUACACCUCCACAGUUCCACUCUCUGAAAGGUUAAGUGAGAAUUCAGGCCACUCAUCCCCUGUUGCCUCAAUCACUAGGCCACACUUCACUGAGUUGUGGUGGACACUGGACAGUAAUACCAGUAAUACUCUGUUUGUGGGUGAUGGGAGAGGGACGUCCAGCCUCUGUGCCCCUCUGUAGCCUCUAGCCCCUCUAUGCCCCGGCGAUGGGCAUAGGCCCCGUAAAUCACUAACCGUGGCACCCAACCCCAUUACAGCACUCAGUUAAAACAAUCAUUAGAGAAAGAAGACAUAUUGCCUUGUCUAUCGCUGCCCCACGCCCUGCCAUUAGAGCUCUGGUAUCAAUCACUCGCUUCUCCAGAGGAGGAACAGAUAGGAGCAAAGAUCUAAUUUUCUCUCAAAAUAAGAGGUCGCGUUUCACUGAGUUUUUCCCAAGGGUAAACUAGGAACAAUUUUUAAAACAACGUUCACUUGGAAUGAACCUUUGUGGAACAUGUUUAACCAAAGACUUAUAACACAUACAAAUGCAGAACAGCAUGGAUGUCAUGCAGGGUUGCCAAAUAUAGAGUUUACUGAAAGAGGACGCUAGGGGCAAGGCAAACACUACUGAUGUAAUUUCAUUACAGAUAUGGGAAAAGGCAUAUUAAACGGUAAAUACUAAUGAUCUAUUAUGAUAAUGUAGCCUCCACUGCCAUACAUAACCCACCUGGCACUCUAAAAGUGUUGCCCAUUCUGCCCUUACUCUGCUGAGAGAGAAACUACUGGAGUGAAUUGCGUUCCUGGCUAGUCCAUUAUCAGGCAGCCUCUCUCCAAGUAAUUUCGCUGGCAACCAAGUAAUCCCAAUAGACAGAAAGGAAAAGAAAAUGUCAUAUUUCCUCUUCACUCUUUAAUUCAUGAGUUUUCUCCCUUAUCGGCUCACUGGAGUCCUGACCUCUGUAACUUCCUGCAGGCGUUCAUUGUGUGCAAACCACCCAGGUUCCCCUCCUUUCACUGACAUUGUACAGUUCCUUUCCGCCCCCCAUGGGUCUGAUAACACGUCACACAUACAGAGCUACAGUAUGGAGAUAAGGGGAUGAGGGGAUAGGACUUCCCAAAUUGCUUUCUUAAAUUUGAUUAGCAUUUCACCACCUCCACUUAUUUCUGAGCAUCAAGGGCAGGCCACGGCCUUGCUGUACUAUGCUGGGUUCUGCUAUGUACAGUACGUGUAGACCGUUUUAUGCUGAAGUGGGGACCUCCACAAUUGUAGACCUCCACAAGAUUAACGUACUUUGGUGCGAAUAGUGCAAAUCAAUCCCAGAACAACAACAACGGACCUUGUGAAGAUGCUGGAGGAAACAAGUACAAAAGUAUCUAUAUCCACAGUAAAACGAGUCCUAUAUUGACAUAACCUGAAAGGCCGCUCAGCAAGGAAGAAGCCAAAACCGCCAUAAAAAAGCCAGACUACGGUUUGCAACUGCACAUGGAGACAAAGAUCAUACUUUUUGGAGAAAUGUCCUCUGGUCUGAUGAAACAAAAAUAGAACUGUUAUGUUUGGAAGAAAAAGGGGGAGGCUUGCAAGCCGAUGAAUACCAUCCCAACCGUGAAGCACGGGGGUGGCAGCAUCAUUUUGUUGGGGUGCUUUGCUGCAGGAGGUACUGGUGCACUUCACAAAACAGAUGACAUCAUGAGGAAGAAAAUGUAUGUGGAUAUAUUAAAGCAACAUCUCAAGACAUCAGUCAGGAAGUUAAAGCUUGGUCGCAAAUGGGUCUUCCAAAUGGACAAUGGCCCCAAGAAUACUUCCAAAGUUGUGGCAAAAUGGCUUAAGGACAACAAAGUCAAGGUAUUGGAGUGUUCAUCACAAUGUCAUGUACUGUCAUGUUGUGUCUUGUCUCUGUCCUUUCCCUUCACCCUGUCUCCCUCUGCUGGUCGUUGUUAGGUUACCUUUUCUCCUCCUCUUUCCCCCAGCUGUGCCUUGUCUCCUCCUAACUACCCAUUCACCCCGUUUCCCACCUGUUCCCUUUUUCCCUCUGAUUAGGUCCCUAUAUCUCUCUCUGUUUUUGUUCCUGUCCUUGUCGGAUUCUUGUUUGUUGUGUUUCAUGCCUGAACCAGACUGUCGUCAUGUUUGCUGUAACCUUGUCUUGUCCUGUCGGAAUCUGCCGGUCUGUCUGAGCCUACCUAUGUUUGGUAAUUAAAGAAGCUCUGUCUAAGUUAAUUCGCUUUUGGGUCCUCAUUCACGCACCGUAACAGAAGAAUCCGACCAAGAAUGGACCCAGCGACUUCGGAUCCUCUCCACUCAGCCGUCGGGAUCCAGGGAGCGAUGCUAGGCAGACACGAGCAGGAAGUGUCUGCUGCUCGACAUGCCGUUGAGACCCUGGCCACCCAAGUCUCCAACCUCACAGAACAGGUUCACCAUCUCCGCCUCGAUCCACCGGCCACUUCCAGGGCUUUCGAAUCUCCGGAGCCCAGAAUCAAUAACCCGCCGUGUUACUCUGGGGAGCCCACUGAAUGCCGCUCGUUCCUCACCCAGUGUGAUAUUGUGUUUUCUCUCCAGCCCAACACUUACUCCAGGAGCACUGCUCGUGUCGCCUACGUCAUAUCUCUCCUUAUU
rnacentral:lncRNA from 13 species